GAUUUCUGGCUUGAUGCCCUCGGCCGGCCACGGUUUCGUGUGUUUUGUGCUGGGUGCUCUGGCCAUCCUUCCAGAUGUUUGCUGCCCGCCUUUUCUUCAUUGAUUGGGUCGUGGUGGUGCUGGAUCUUUUACUUUGAAAAAAUUAGAGUGUUUCAAGCAGGCUUUAUGCUAUGAAUACAUUAGCAUGGAAUAAUGAUUUAGGACUUCGGUUCUAUUUUGUUGGUUUCUAGGACUGAAGUAAUGAUUGAUAGGGAUAGUUGGGGGUGCUAGUAUUCCGCGGCCAGAGGUGAAAUUCUUGGAUUCGUGGAAGACUAACUACUGCGAAAGCAUU
rnacentral:rRNA from 1 species